rnacentral:lncRNA from 1 species
UUCAAUUUAAGGUCUUCAGAUAUCGGAGAAAAUAUCAACUCCACCUCAGCAUCAGAUACAUCAAAUCUUGGAGGCGAUGCUUUUCGCUUCAGUGAUGGUUCUGGCAGGAUUUUGUUGGGGGCUCGUGAGCACUGUGUCAUCGCUGGGAUUUUGUCGUCAAAAGAUGUCGGAGUUUUGAACCCAUCAUCGUCUGGCAGGAUUUUCUUGGGGGCUCGUGGGCACUGUGUCAUCGCUGGGAUUUUGUGGUAAAAAGAUGUCGGAGUUUUGAACCCAUCAUCGUCUUCAGCUACUUCGGAUUCUCCUAAACAUAGAAUUUUGGAUUCUUCUUCAUGAUCGGUUUCAUCUUCUGGG